AAUUGAACUCAGGACCUCUAGAAG
rnacentral:piRNA from 1 species